CGAAGCCACCGAGGCAGGAAUCGGAAGUGCCAGUCUGUGCAUCGUGUUCUCACGCCAACCCCAAGUGGAUGAGUUGGAUAUGCCAUUCCUCAAUGUGUACCUGGAUUAUCUUUGGGCACCUAAUUUUUGGAAAGGAGUACUCUGAAGUGAAUUCAUGCUAUGUUAACAGUCUAACAAACAUCUUGGAGGUGUGAAUGCUUUCUUGGGUCUGACAAGUAAUCAAUAAUUGAUGGUAUACUGGGAUUUUUCUCAUACUUCUAGCACUUCCUCAUUGACAAUAAAGCAAGUACUAUCACAACAAAGGCUGUUACCUCCAGUUGUAUACCCCAAGAAAUGGUCUGCUUUCAUGGGGCUUAUUGAAUCCAGGAAAUAAUUGUGAGUAGUAGCGAACCAGACAUGAAAUGUUUCAGAGAACUACGAAAACUCUGGUCAGUUUUGUCGGGAUCUUGUGACACAGUUCCAGGACUCUAUUGACUAAGCCUCUUUCAGUUAGUACAAUGAUCAAGGAUCUCAUUUGAGUAUGGGUUUGCACAUCUAAGUGCUGGUGAUCUUCUUCGUGAAGAAGUUAAAGUGAUAUGGAGCAGAUUAAAAUUGACCAUGAGUUCGUACUAUUAAUUGAAGGCUCAAGGGAAGAGACAGCGGCAUAUUCUUCGUUGAAAUCAGGAAUGAAUUCCACUCGUUAUGCAAUACCACUAUGAGAAAAGUAGGGAAAUGCUGGACCUCUGCAAAAUGUGCUCGUUCACCUCGCGGUCUCACCCCCAAAACAGAGGAGAGGAGCAGGGAGCUCCUCUCUCACACUCGUCGGCUCCAAGGAGCUCCGCUGCCACAUAGGGUUAUCUCCACGCCACUAAUAUCCAUUGUUGCAUCUUGUAAUUAUUAAUUUGGAAUAAAUCAUGCAAUUGGCAUUUAUAUAUGCUUUACUCUGUCUUUUUUGUAGGCAAACCAAGGCUGCAAGUUUGAAUAUUAUACUCAGUCAGAUGCUCGACUACUUACAGUCCUAUUACUUGAGACUUAAUACUCGGUCAGCUGCCGUGUACAUUGUUCUGACAUAAAUGACACCAUGUCUAUGCGCAAGUCAGAAGGAACUUACCAUCUAAUAUGUCUAAUUAGUGUGGUACAUGCUUCAGUACUGCAAGUUGGAGUAGCAAAUGUACAAUACGCCAUCAUCUCUCGGAGUAUGCGGGGAAGUUUAGAAAAGAUGCAGCAAUGGUGUGGUCAGAGAUAAUAAAAAUUGAUGGCUUCGGAUGAUGCUUUGAAAAUUUCGAUUGACAAAGUCGCAGAUGUAACUAUGAGCGAUUGGACUCAAAAGUCAUCCAAUUUUACACAAUGAGAUGCAUACAAAUAAUUAUUCUUUCCUUGUA